rnacentral:rRNA from 1 species
AGAUUGCAGUCGAGCGACCCCGGCUUUAUGCCAGGGAGCGGCGGACGGCUGAGUAACACGUAGGAACCUACCCGGUUGUGGACCAUAGCCCGCCGAAAGGCGGGGUAAUAGUCCAUAGCCCCCGACUCAGUCGGGGUAAAGGGCGUAACUGCUCGCAACCGGAUGGGCUUGCGGCCUAUCAGGUAGUUGGUAGGGUAAUGGCCUACCAAGCCUAUGACGGGUAGCUGGCCUGAGAGGGUGGUCAGCCAGAGGGGGACUGAGACACGGCCCCCACUCCUACGGGAGGCAGCAAUCAGGAAUCGUCGGCAAUGGGCGAAAGCUUGACCGCGCGACGCCGCGUGCGGGAAGAAGCUCGAAAGAGUGUAAACCGCUGUGGUAGGGGAAGAAGUCUCACUUUGGUGAGAUUGACGGUACCCUACUAGAAAGGGGCCGCUAACUGCGUGCCAGAAGCGUCGGUAAUACGUGGGCCCCAAACGUUAUCCGGUCUUACUGGGUGUAAAAGGUCGCGUAGGCGUCCUACUAAGUUUUAUCUUAAAGCCUGCAGCCCAACUGCGGAAAAGGGUAAAAUACUGGUAGGAUAGAGUAGUCUUUAGGGGAACUGGAACUCAGGGAGGAGUAGUGAAAUGCGUUGAUACCCUGGGGAACACCAGUGGCGAAGGCGAGUUCCUGGAAGACUACUGACGCUGAGGCACGAAAGCUAGGGGAGCGAAGCAGAUUA